rnacentral:rRNA from 1 species
CACGUAGAGACCAAGCGUUGUCCGGAUUUAUUGGGCGUAAAGAGCUCGUAGGCGGUCCGGCAAGUCGGGUGAGAAAACUCUGGGCUCAACCCGGCGCGGCCACCCGAUACUGCCGUGAUUUGAGUCCGGUAGGGGAGCACGAAAUUCCUGGUAUAGAGGUGAAAUGCGCAGAUAUCAGGAGGAACACCGGUGGCGAAGGCGGUGCUUUGGGCCGGUACUGACGCUGAGGAGAGAAAGCGUGGGUAGCAAACAGG